GACUCUGUGCCGGGCGGGGGCCGGGAAGGGGUGGGAGAAGUCGCCGCCCGCGUCUGUCCAAACUUAGUCCCAAACUCAGGAGGUUCCUGUCCCAAGAAGCAAUGUAAAGUUUGAAACGAGCCGAGUGCGGUGGUUCACGCCUGUAAUCCCAGCACUUUGGGAGGCCGAGGCUGGCGAAUCAUUUGAGACACAGGGUCUCACUGUGUUGGCCAGGCUGGAGUGCGGCAGUCUGGAACUCCUGGGCCCAAGUGAUCCUCCAAUCAGCCUCCCAAAGCACUGGAAUUACAGACGGAGUUUUGCUCUUGUUGCCCAGGCUGGAGUACAAUGGCGCAAUCUCGGCUCACUGCAACCUCUGCCUCCGGGGUUCAAGUGAUUCUCCUGCCUCAGCCUCCUGAGUAGCUGGGAUUACAGGAGCCUACUACCACGGCCAGCUAAUUUUUUUGUAUUUUUAGUAGAGACGGGGUUUUACCAUGUUGGCCAGGCUGGUUUCAAACUCCUGACCUCAGGUGAUCCACCCACCUCGGCCUCCCAAACUGCUGGGAUUAUAGGCAUGAGCCACUGUGCCCGGCCCAUAGAUUACUUUUAUAAUCAGAAGUUUUUACUUUUUAAAGAGUAAAUUCUCUCACCUCAGGUAGCUCAGAGAGCUGCGCUGGAGGAGAAAAGCCAGUCCUGGCAGGAGCUCUGGUACCUGGGAAGCUGGAUGGAGAGCCUGGGCCAGAAUCCCGGACCCCUCACCUCUGCGGCCUAGCUUUGUGACCUUGGCAAAUCCAUUCUAUGCGCCUCCAUUUCCUGUACAGUGGGGAUCCUUAUUUCUCUGUCACAGAUUGGUAUUUGUUCUGUAAAGCCCAGUACCACUUUAUUUUAUUUUAGUUAUUGAUUUUUUUGAGACAGGGCCUCACUCUGUUGCCAAGGCUGGAAUGCAGUGGCGAGGUCAUAGCUCACUGCAGCCUCAAACUCCUGGGCUCAGGCCAUCCUCCUGCCUCGGCCUCCUGAGUAGCUGGGACGACAGGCAUGCACCAGUGCGCCUAGCUCCAGUACCAUGUUUAAACGGUGCUCAGAAAACUUGCUAAACUUGGUGGAUGGGAAUUGAAAAGAGAUUUAAUGUUUUAAAAAUCAAAGUCACUGAGCUGCAGUGCCACAUGGGAAGGAGGCCUGGAUGUGAAUGUUCCUGGGAGCUGAGAGCUCCUGUGACUGUCGCCAGUUUCCUGUGGUCUCCCACAGACUCAGGACAUCUCCCUCUGCUCCAGGACACCUCAGGACCACCAGGGGGCACUCAUCGCACCUUCACCCCUGGAAGGGAGCUGGUCCUGGGGCCAAAACCCACUGUGCCUGGGAAGCCCUUCCUGGCUUCUGCUCUCCUCAAUGUAUGACAGCCCUGAUUUACCCCCAGGGACUGUUGCCACUCGGGGUUGUAGAGUAAUAUGUAACCAGACUGGAGAACCACAGCAAUGCUCUCUCCUCUGCCCAUCACCUCCCCUUGGCCCCUCCCUCUUCAUCAGCCCCAUUUUGGAGAAGGGAGAAAGAAAGGAGAGGCAGCAGUCUCCUCCCAGGUGGGGCCGGACUCCAGGGAAGGAGAAUUUUCAGAAGUUGCUGGAGUUGCCGAAUCUGUCAGGGCCCAGGGUUCACAGAGCAGUGAUGGAGGAGAAAGGAGAGGAAGCAGAUCUAAGCACACAUGGGCAUCAAACCAGAGGAACAAAGUCACAUGCAGAGGGCUGCACAUAGACACAGGGAAACACACACACGGAGAUGCACAGAAACACGCAGACCCCACGCAGGGACCUGCUUUCCCGCCACAGAGGAAAGCAAUCUGAUCAAACAGACCCACUGUGCACCCAGCCCUCCAUGCUUGGGGACAACACACCUAC